GGAGCGGUGUCCGAGUGGCCGAAGGAGAUGGUUUCGAAAACCAUUGAACCCGCGAGGGUUCCGGGGGUUCGAAUCCCCCCUGCUCCG
rnacentral:tRNA from 1 species